rnacentral:rRNA from 1 species
AUUGAACGCUGGCGGCAGGCCUAACACAUGCAAGUCGAGCGGGUGAAGGGAGCUUGCUCCUGGAUUCAGCGGCGGACGGGUGAGUAAUGCCUAGGAAUCUGCCUGGUAGUGGGGGAUAACGUCCGGAAACGGGCGCUAAUACCGCAUACGUCCUGAGGGAGAAAGUGGGGGAUCUUCGGACCUCACGCUAUCAGAUGAGCCUAGGUCGGAUUAGCUAGUUGGUGGGGUAAAGGCCUACCAAGGCGACGAUCCGUAACUGGUCUGAGAGGAUGAUCAGUCACACUGGAACUGAGACACGGUCCAGACUCCUACGGGAGGCAGCAGCGGGGAAUAUUGGACAAUGGGCGAAAGCCUGAUCCAGCCAUGCCGCGUGUGUGAAGAAGGUCUUCGGAUUGUAAAGCACUUUAAGUUGGGAGGAAGGGCAGUAAGUUAAUACCUUGCUGUUUUGACGUUACCAACAGAAUAAGCACCGGCUAACUUCGUG